rnacentral:pre_miRNA from 1 species
AGCCUUCUGUAUUUGUGCUGAGAUUUCGUCACACACCAGAUCACAAAGGCUGAGGAGACUUCCAAAAUAAGUGGAGCA